rnacentral:rRNA from 1 species
AUGGACGGGGAGGAGCCUGCCAAGGAAAUCGAGGCGCUCAUCCAGCGGCUGAGGCUCCACCAGCCGCCUCCCUCGUAUGCCGGUGAUCCAUCCACGGCGGCGACUCCCAACGCCGGCGAGCUACUUAAGCCACGAAGGGCCGCCGUGCUGAUCUGCCUUUUCCGGGGCUCCGCCGGGGAGCUCCGCGUCAUCCUCACCAAGCGCUCCUCUUCCCUCUCCACUCACUCCGGGGAGGUUGCAUUGCCAGGUGGAAAAGCUGACGAAGGUGAUGCUGAUGAUGCAGCUACAGCAUUGCGUGAAGCAAAGGAGGAGAUUGGGAUGGAUCCAUGUCUGGUUACUGUUGUUACCUCUCUCGAGCACUUCUUGUCAAAGCAUCUUCUGGUAGUUGUUCCUAUUGUUGGCAUACUCUCAGAUAUAGAAGGAUUUAAACCUGUUCCCAACAUCCACGAGGUUGAUGACAUUUUCGAUGUACCCCUGGAGAUGUUCCUCAAGGAUGAGAACAGGAGAUCCGAGGAGAGAGAACGGAUGGGGCAAGUCUUCACAAUUCAGUACUUCGACUACGAGAAAGAAAACCGGAAGUACGUGAUCUGGGGAUUGACUGCCCGCAUCCUGAUCCAUGCUGCUUCCAUUGUAUACCAGCGGCCACCGGACUUUGUAGAGCGAAGACUACAGUUCAACCUUCCAAAGUACUCCAUUUCUAGUUCAGGAUCUGCUGCAAGCUAA